rnacentral:rRNA from 1 species
UACGGAGGGUGCAAGCGUUAAUCGGAAUUACUGGGCGUAAAGCGUGCGUAGGUGGUUCGUUAAGUCCGUUGUGAAAGCCCCGAGCUCAACUUGGGAAUUGCAGUGGAUACUGGCGAGCUAGAGUGCGGUAGAGGAAGGUGGAAUUCCCGGUGUAGCGGUGAAAUGCGUAGAGAUCGGGAGGAACACCAGUGGCGAAGGCGGCCUUCUGGACCGGUACUGACACUCAGGCACGAAAGCGUGGGGAGCAAACAGG